CAAAACCUUUGCUCCGACAGUUCUUUCAUUACCCGUCAGGACUUAGUAACAGCUGAACGUUAAAAAACUUCUCGUCAAUAAAAUUAAUAUGCAGUUGUGUGCGGCUAUUGUAUUCCUCGUGUGCUGUGCCGGAUUUUGUGGAGCGAUACGAUGCUACUCCUGUGUAAGUACAACAGACAGCAACUGUGCCGACGAGUUUAGUCCCGUUGGAAUCACGCUCGAAAGUAAUUGCGACUAUUGCUCGAAAAGCAAAGGGAAGAUUGGUUCUGUUCAGUAUGUCGUACGGAAAUGCGAAUCAAACUACUAUGGUUCCAGUGAAUGCCACUCUGUAUCGGUAAGUGGUAUGGAUGUAAACGUCUGUUCCUGCAACACUGACCUCUGCAACAGCGGACCUAGAGUCGCCGCAAGCUUCGCCAUAGGUGUGAUUCCUAUCUACCUGUUUCUUCGAUCACUUUAGAUGCUCAUAUGGUGUAAUGAUGUUUGGAGACAUAUAUUUCAUACAUUUGCUUUAAAUAUCUCAUAUUAAAGUAUUGAACAGAACAGGUAUUUUUUAUGUUUUAAAGUUCACAAAAUACAUAAUACAUAUUUUUUGACAACAUGUUAGAAUAUAGUUCACAAAUAAUUAUUUUACAAUAUACUAGAAUUUCGAAAAAAAAAAACACGAAAUAAUAAUUUGCUGAAGAUGAUCAGAAAGUUUGCAAUAUGAUUUAUAGUAUAAAUUGUAUUAAAAAUUGAAUAUGUUUAUAUAUUAAUAUAUAUGUGUAUAUAUGAUAUCUGUGUUCAUAUAUUAUGUGUUGUGAAACUUAAGGCAAGUAUACAUACUUGUUUAAAUUGUUGGCAUUUUUAAAUGAGUCAAGUAAUGGUCCGUGUUGUUUCUAUUUCAACUUCUGAUGUAUAGUCUUAAAUGUGUAUCUGUUGGCAUUUUAUGUACAGUAAACAACAUCGCUCAAUGUAUGUUGUGAACAAACAAACGUCAUUUUUAUAAAAACUCUAAUACUAUAGUGUAGUUUCGCUAAUGCCAAUAUUUUCAACCAACUUUCGAUGAGUUUGACCUUGUCUGCCCUUAACCCAUUUAUGCCUAGCGUCUAUGAAAAAGGCUUUGGCAAACAGCGUAGACCCAGGUGAGACGCCGUAUGAUGCGGUGUCUCAUCAGGGUCUGCGCUGUUUGCUUAAGGGAAUUUAUGUAAGAAAUAUUCUAAAUAUAUAAAUAAGUAUACUAGACAUCCCUAAUUUUGGAAAUAAAUUGAUCCAAUUUAGAAGGAUGGGAGAGUCAAAUAGGCAUAAAUGGGUUAAACGUUCUCUAAAGAAACAGCAACUGAAGACAUUUUCGCCAAAACUAAUUGGAACGUUCUGUACUGUUAUUGUUACGAAACAGUGUAUUAAACCAAAGAUAAAAUAAAACCCUCGUCAUCA